AAAUAAACCUUAUUGUAGCGGCUAUCCUUUUUGUUCCACAGGUCAGCAACGUCUUCCAGGCCAUCACAAAAAGAUAGGAGCGGAAAGAAGGGCUGCCG
rnacentral:sRNA from 2 species